AACGAACCUUACCAGGUCUUGACAUCCGAUGCUAUUCUAGAGAUAGAAAGUUACUUCGGUACAUCGGUGACAGGUGGUGCAUGGUUGUCGUCAGCUCGUGUCGUGAGAUGUUGGGUUAAGUCCCGCAACGAGCGCAACCCCUAUUGUUAGUUGCCAUCAUUCAGUUGGGCACUCUAGCGAGACUGCCGGUAAUAAACCGGAGGAAGGUGGGGAUGACGUCAAAUCAUCAUGCCCCUUAUGACCUGGGCUACACACGUGCUACAAUGGUUGGUACAACGAGUUGCGAGUCGGUGACGGCGAGCUAAUCUCUUAAAGCCAAUCUCAGUUCGGAUUGUAGGCUGCAACUCGCCUACAUGAAGUCGGAAUCGCUAGUAAUCGCGGAUCAGCACGCCGCGGUGAAUACGUUCCCGGGCCUU
rnacentral:rRNA from 1 species